rnacentral:rRNA from 1 species
UACGUAGGGUCCGAGCGUUGUCCGGAUUUAUUGGGCGUAAAGAGCUCGUAGGCGGCUUGCUAAGUCAGGUGUGAAACCUCCAGGCUCAACCUGGAGCCGCCACCUGAUACUGGUAUGGCUAGAGUCCGGUAGGGGACCACGGAAUUCCUGGUGUAGCGGUGAAAUGCGCAGAUAUCAGGAAGAACACCCGUGGCGAAAGCGGCUCUCUGGAACGGUACUGACGCUGAGACGCGAAAGCGUGGGGAGCGAACAGG